rnacentral:tRNA from 1 species
AGGGGGUUAGUCCAAACAAGACCUCUGAUUUCGACUCAGAAAAUCGCGGUUACACCCACGACCCCCUU